rnacentral:tRNA from 1 species
UCCCUGGUGGCUCAGAUGGUAAAGAAUCUGCCUGUAAUGCAGGAGACCCAGGUUCAAUCCCUGGGUUGAGAA